rnacentral:rRNA from 1 species
GAUGAACGCUGGCGGCGUGCCUAAUACAUGCAAGUCGAGCGAACAGACGAGGAGCUUGCUCCUCUGACGUUAGCGGCGGACGGGUGAGUAACACGUGGAUAACCUACCUAUAAGACUGGGAUAACUUCGGGAAACCGGAGCUAAUACCGGAUAAUAUAUUGAACCGCAUGGUUCAAUAGUGAAAGACGGUUUUGCUGCCACUUAUAGAUGGAUCCGCGCCGCAUUAGCUAGUUGGUAAGGUAACGGCUUACCAAGGCAACGAUGCGUAGCCGACCUGAGAGGGGGGUAGGCCACACUAGAACUGAGACACGGACCAGACUCCUACGGGAGGCAGCAGUAGGGAAUCGUCCGCAAUGGGCGAAAGCUUGACGGAGCAACGCCGAGUGAGUGAUGAAGGUCUUCGGAUCGUAAAACUCUGUUAUUAGGGAAGAACAAAUGUGUAAGUAACUAUGCACGUCUUGACGGUACCUAAUCAGAAAGCCACGGCUAACUACGUG